GACGAACGCUGGCGGCGUGCUUAACACAUGCAAGUCGAACGGAAAGGCCCUGCUUUUGUGGGGUGCUCGAGUGGCGAACGCGUGCGUAACACGUGAGUAACCUGCCCUUGUCUUUGGGAUAACUUCAGGAAACUGGGGUUAAUACCGGAUAGGAGCUCACGCUGCAUGGUGGGGGUUGGAAAGUCUCGGCGGGUGGGGAUGGAUGCGCGGGUUAUCAGCUUGCUGGUGGGGUAGUGGCUUACCAAGGCAUGGACGGGUAGCCGGCCUGAGAGGGUGACCGGCGACAUGGGUACUGAGAUACGGCGCAGACUCCUACGGGAGGCAGCAGUGGGGAAUAUUGCACAGUGAGAGGAAGCCUGAUGCAGCAACGCCGCGUGCGGGAUGACGGCCUUCGGGUUGUAAACCGCUUUCGCCUGUGACGAAGCGUGAGUGACGGUAAUGGGUAAAGAAGCACCGGCUAACUACGUG
rnacentral:rRNA from 1 species